AAAUAUCUGCUUCUCUAAUGAAUCUCUGCCCAUUAAUUCUUCUUCCAAUCUCAAUCAAAGGAGGGAAGAAAAGAACUAGAGAAGUCUAGAUGCUAACCAUGGCAGAAGAAAGAACAAAAGGGUCUAUUGCUGUCGCUUUGUUCUCUAUUGUUCUUCUCGUCUUUCCUCUGGGGUUCAGCAAUGCAUAUAAAGUGUACAAGCGUGUGAUAGAAAUGCCAAAUGGAUGCAGGAUAGAUGAUUGUGUAAAUUCAUGCGAGAGGAUAUAUGGACAAAGAACUAUAGCUACGGCGUGUGGUUGUAUUACAGGCUUUCAUAAAUGUAUGUGCAUUGGAGAAGGAGCCUUUUAAUUCAGAGAAAUUGAUAGAUAAUUAAGAAUAUAUGUAGCUCAAUAGCUGUUUGUUAAUGUCAUCUGCGGCAUAUUAUUUCAGUAAUUUUAUUAUAUGAGAAAUUUUAUAUCUUGUCAA